UUUUAUACGCCCGUCUAUGACGGGACGUAUUAUGGUAUACCCCGCGUCCGUCUGUCCGUCCGUCCGUCUGUCCGUCCGUAUGUCUGUUAAUGUCGUACGCUACGUCAAAUAUCCUUUGACAGAUUUUCUUCAAAUUUUAACACAAUCUUAAUAUUGAUAAACCCUGAUCCCCUUUCGUUUUUGACGGAAUUCUGAAUUGUCGUUCCAGAGUUAUGGGACUUUGUUCGUCAAAAUUUCGUGAUUUCAUUGAAUGUCCUACUGUAGCUAUAUAAAAAUGUUAAAGUUGUUAUAACUUUGGUAUGCUUGGACCUAGAGUCUUGAAACUUGACAUGAAGGUUGGCCAGAACUAGUAAGUAACCACUGGACAUUUCAAGGUCAUUCAUUUGAAGGUCAAGGUCACUGUGACCUUGAAUGUAAAAAUGUUAAAGUUCUUAUUUCAUGUUAUAACUUUGGUAUGCUUGUACCUAGAGUCUUCAAACUUGAAAUAAAGAUUGGCCAGUACUAGAAGAUGACCACUGGUCAUUUCAAUGUCAUUCAUUUGAAGGUCAAGGUCACUGUGACCUUAAAUGUUAAAAUGUUAAAAUUGUUAUAACUUUGGUAUGCUUGGACAUAGAGUCUUCAAACUUGACAUGAAGGUUUGCAAGCACACUUAGAUGACCACUGGUCAUUUCAAGGUCAUUCAUUCUAAGGUCAAGGUCACACAAGGUCACUGUGACCUUAAAUGUUAAAAUGUUAAAAUUGUUAUAACUUUGGUAUGCUUGGACAUAGAGUCUUCAAACUUGACAUGAAGGUUUGCAAGCACACUUAGAUGACCACUGGUCAUUUCAAGGUCAUUCAUUCUAAGGUCAAGGUCACUGUGACCUUAAAUGUUAUUGUUGUUCAUGUAUCCUACCGUAGCUCAAAUAUCCCCCGAUGGAUUUUUUAUACGCCCGUCUAUGACGGGACGUAUUAUGGUAUACCCCGCGUCCGUCUGUCCGUCCGUCCGUCCGUCCGUCCGUCCGUCUGUUAAUGUCGUACGCUACGUCAAAUAUCCUUUGACAGAUUUUCUUCAAAUUUUAACACAAUCUUAAUAUUGAUAAACCCUGAUCCCCUUUCGUUUUUGACGGAAUUCUGAAUUGUCGUUCCAGAGUUAUGGGACUUUGUUCGUCAAAAUUUCGUGAUUUCAUUGAAUGUCCUACUGUAGCUCAAAUAUCCUUCGAUGGAUUUUUUUCAAAUUUCAACACAAUCUUAAUAUUGAUAAACCCUGAUCCCCUUUCGUUUUUGACGGAAUUCUGAAUUGUCGUUCCAGAGUUAUGGGACUUUGUUCGUCAAAAUUUCGUGAUUUCCAUGCUCAUGUACUUAUAAAAUAAACCAUGUAUUCAAAUACAAAUAAACUGAAGUAAAAAAAUGA